AUUGAACGCUGGCGGCAUGCCUUACACAUGCAAGUCGAACGGCAGCGGGCCUUCGGGUGCCGGCGAGUGGCGAACGGGUGAGUAAUGCAUCGGAACGUGCCAUUGAGUGGGGGAUAACGUAGCGAAAGUUACGCUAAUACCGCAUAUUCUGUGAGCAGGAAAGCAGGGGACCGCAAGGCCUUGCGCUCUUUGAGCGGCCGAUGUCAGAUUAGCUAGUUGGUGAGGUAAAGGCUUACCAAGGCGACGAUCUGUAGCGGGUCUGAGAGGAUGAUCCGCCACACUGGAACUGAGACACGGUCCAGACUCCUACGGGAGGCAGCAGUGGGGAAUUUUGGACCAAAUGGGCGGCGA
rnacentral:rRNA from 1 species